CCAAACUUUCUAAUAAUCAAUAAUUUUCCACAUGACUGUUAAACUUACCUUGAAUGAAACACAAUAUCAAUCUUUGUCAAUAUAAAUCAGUAUAGAUAUAUAUAUCUGUCUAUGCAUUAUUGUUAGAGUUUGACGGGUUCAUAACACGAGCCUGGAAUAAUAUGUCUCUAAAAGAUUGCAACUCUUGAUAUUGCCUCAAAACCAUAAUUAAGGUUAAGCAUGUGGGCUAUCACCAAACUUAUUAACAACCUAAGUUGACGUGAUUAUGUCCCAGAUAAAUAAAUAAUACAAGUUCUAAAAUCUUCACCUUGCACUGACACUAAUAAAUAUUUAUAUUUUAAAUCUUUAAAAACGCAUUGUAGAAAGAUGUUUAAAACAAUUGAUACAGUUGAAUCCUCAAUUCAAUUAGUUGUACCCCUAGAGUCUACUUCUCCCUCGUACAAGUGAAAGAGAAGAUGUAAAAACUGUCAAAAUUGUCCAAGUGAGAUUUUCGGUAAAUGUGAGCCACACACAUAUUAAAUGCAAUAGGACUAAUUUAUGUGAGAGAAGAAGUAUUACUCCGGUCAAUAACCCUGAACCUUCAUGCAAGUUUCACAACUUGACUUUGUUAAAUUGCAACAUAAAUGUCCAUCCUUUUCUUGACGGGCCCUUGCUUUGGAAUAGCUUCAUCAAUUAUUUCAUGCGAGAUGGACCACUUGUUCAAUCAAUUUAUACCAAUUUUGUAAAAAAAUUUAACAAACGAAAAUUAUUCAAUGCGCUUGACAGGAGCGGAGCUAAAAUUCCUUCGAAAUGAGGGCCAAAUAUCUAGAAGCAUAUACGUAUGUUUUUCAUUUGAUAAUUAAAAUAUAUAAAUAAAUUGAAAUGAUUAAUAAUUUUCGAGACUCAAUUCGAUAUUCUGGAAAAGAUGUUGGGCCAAACUUUCUAAUAAUCAAUAAUUUUCCACAUGACUGUUAAACUUACCUUGAAUGAAACACAAUAUCAAUCUUUGUCAAUAUAAAUCAGUACAGAUAUAUAUCUCUGUCUACGCAUUAUUGUUAGAGUUUGACGGGUGGUACAGAUAUAUUUCUCUGUCUAUGCAUUUUGUUAGAGCUUGACGGGUUCAUAACACGAGCAUGGAAUAAUCUGCCACUAAAAGCUUGCAACUUUUGAUAUUACCUCAAAACCUUAAUUAAAGAUAAGGAUGUGGGCUAUCACCAAACUUACUAACUAUUUAAGGAUUAUGUCCCAGAUAAACAAAUAAUACAAGUUCUAAAAUUUUCAACUGACACUAAUAAAUAUUUUUAUUUUAAAUCUUUAAAAAGGCAUUGUAGAACAAUCUAUAAAACAAGUGAUACAAGUGAUUUCUCAACUCAAUUAGUUGUACCCUUAGAGUCCACUUCUCUUGAGCGAAAGAGAAAAUAAAAAGACUAUCAAACCCGAAAAAAUCUAAUAUUUGUCUAUGGUUUAUCCAAUGAUCUAAAAUUAUAAUAUUAAAUCAAAAAUAUUUUAGCUAUGAGUAAUAUUGAAUGAUCCACAUGAAAAGAAGCAAACCAAUCAACCAAAAAGAGCACAAGAUUUUUACCAUAGAAACCCUUGAAUGGGAGAAAAAUCACGUGUCCACUCUCUGAAUAAAGAUCAUGCACUAUAAUCCGAAAUUUAGACGGUUACAAGACUCUUACAAUCAAAACAUAUCAACUUCAUGAUCUAAUGAUUGUGUAAAUCUAGCUCGUAUCCACGAUUCACCGUCUCCGUGCUUGAUCACCAUUUAGAUCCCCUUAAAACGAAUUUCACACCUUAAACUCCUACAAGGAUUUUGAAUUUUUCAAUUUGGUUGAUGAAGAUCUUUGCUAAUAUUUGUUUCUGAGCUCUUCGGAAGGUAGAGAACACUUUUCUCUAGGUUAUAAUGCUAUAGGCGGCUCACCUCAGGUCUUGAGAAGUGUUUUGAGCCUUUUAUAGAGCCAAAAAUCCUAAAAAAUACAAUUUUUGACUUUGCAAAUUUUCGUGAGUACUGUUGAUCCCGCGAAGUACCUGUGAAUUCUGUGACAAUUUUCAAGCUCUCAGUUUCUUCUCGUGAGAUCUGUGAACUACCCGCGAAGUUCAUAAUUUUUUACUCCGAUAUCCGAUAGAACUGAUUUUUAGUGCGUUGGAAAGAAAACUUCAAGGAACACAACUUUGCCUCUAAUGAUCAUUGGCUGAAUCAAUCUCUAAGAUGGCAAAAAUUAAGCUUGAAAAUUGCAGGUGAAUCCAUAAUGUAUCAUACAAGUUUCUCUUAGCACGAGCUUGCAUGAAUAUGCUUGAAAACCUUUCUGAAUACUUGAAAAAUAUCUUCUAACACUUGUUCUUCAUUACUCAACUUCUCAAUUUACAUUAAAAAUAACUUAUCACGAAAUUUAGCCAAUCACACAACCUAACAAAAACUGCCUCAAGUGAGAUUUCAGGUAAAUGUGAUCCCCACACAUAUUAAAUGCAGUAGGACCAAUUUAUACGAAAGGAGGAGCAUUACUCCAGUGAAGAACUCUGA
rnacentral:lncRNA from 1 species